AGCGAACGCUGGCGGCAGGCCUAACACAUGCGAGUCGAACGGACCUUUCGGGGUUAGUGGCGGACGGGUGAGUAACACGUGGGAACGUGCCUUUAGGUUCGGAAUAGCUCCUGGAAACGGGUGGUAAUGCCGAAUGUGCCCUUAGGGGGAAAGAUUUAUCGCCUUUAGAGCGGCCCGCGUCUGAUUGGCUAGUUGGUGAGGUAAUGGCUCACCAAGGCUACGAUCAGUAGCUGGUCUGAGAGGAUGACCAGCCACAUUGGGACUGAGACACGGCCCAAACUCCUACGGGAGGCAGCAGUGGGGAAUCUUGCGCAAUGGGCGAAAGCUUGACGCAGCCAUGCCGCGUGGAUGAUGAAGGUCUUAGGAUUGUAAAAUCCUUUCACCGGUGAAGAUAAUGACUGUAGCCGGAGAAGAAGCCCCGGCUAACUUCGUGCCAGCCGCCGCCGUAA
rnacentral:rRNA from 1 species